rnacentral:sRNA from 1 species
AUAAUAUUAAAUUUUACGGUUUUUAAUUUAGUAUUUAAGUUUUAUAAUUUUAUAUUAAUGUUAUAACUAAAACAAAUGGUGAUGAUAAAAUAAUAAAAUAAAUAUUUAACAUGUGCUAUAUCAAUCCAAACUCGUCCCACUAUAUUUCAUAUCAAUCCAAACCCGUCCCGCUAUAUUUCUCAUCUCAUGAUAUUUUUUUAUA